rnacentral:rRNA from 1 species
GACGUAGGGGGCCAGCGUUGUUCGGAAUUACUGGGUGUAAAGGGUUCGUAGGCGGUGCGGCAAGUCGGGAGUGAAAUCUCUGGGCUUAACCCAGAGGCUGCUUCCGAAACUGCUGUGCUUGAGUGUGGGAGAGGCGCGUGGAAUUGCAGGUGUAGCGGUGAAAUGCGUAGAUAUCUGCAGGAACACCCGUGGCGAAAGCGGCGCGCUGGACCACUACUGACGCUGAGGAACGAAAGCUGGGGGAGCAAACAGG